rnacentral:rRNA from 1 species
GGUUAAAAAGCUCGUAGUUGGAUUUCUGUCGAGGGCGGCCGGUCCGCACUUAGUGCGUGUAUCUGGUUCGGCCUUGGCAUCCUCUUGGGGAACGUUUCUGUGCUUCGUUGCAUGGGACGGUAUUCAAGACUUUUACUUUGAGGAAAUUAGAGUGUUCACGGCAAGCUUUCGCUUUGAAUACAUUAGCAUGGAAUAAUAAUAUAGGGCGUAAGUUCUAUUUUGUUGGUUUCUAGGACAUACGCAAUGAUUAAUAGGGACAAUUGGGGGCAUUCGUAUUAACACGUCAGAGGUGGAAUUCUUAGAUUGUGUUACGACGAACUACUGCGAAAGCAUUUGCCAGGGAUGUUUUCAUUGAUCAAGAACGAAAGUAUGGGGAUCGAAGACGAUUAGAUACCGUCGUAGUCUAUACCAUAAACUAUGCCAAUUAGAGAUUGGAGGUCGUUCGUUUUAUGACUCCUUCAGCACCUUAUGAGAAAUCAAAAUUUUUGGGUUCCGGGGGGAGUAUGGUCGCAAGGCUGAAACUUAAAGGAAUUGACGGAAGGGCACCACCAGGAGUGGAGCCUGCGGCUUAAUUUGACUCAACACGGGAAAACUUACCAGGUCCAGACAUAGUAAGGAUUGACAGAUUGAUAGCUCUU